rnacentral:rRNA from 1 species
CCUACGGGUGGCAGCAGUGAGGAAUAUUGGGCAAUGGAGGCAACUCUGACCCAGCCAUGCCGCGUGAGUGAAGAAGGUUUUCGGAUUGUAAAGCUCUUUCGGAUGUGACGAUGAUGACGGUAGCAUCUAAAGAAGCCCCGGCUAACUUUGUGCCAGCAGCCGCGGUAAUACGAAGGGGGCAAGCGUUGUUCGGAAUUACUGGGCGUAAAGGGAGUGUAGGCGGCUGAGUAAGAUAGUGGUGAAAUGCCAGGGCUUAACUUUGGAAUUGCCAUGAUAACUAUUAAACUAGAAUGACAGAGAGGUUAGUGGAAUACCCAGUGUAGCGGUGAAAUGCGUAGAUAUUGGGUAGAACACCAGCGGCGAAGGCGACUAUCUGGCUGUAAAUUGACGCUGAGGCUCGAAAGCAUGGGGAUCAAACAGGAUUAGAUACCCUGGUAGUC